CUGGAGAUGGGAGAGUAGCAGGUUGAGAGUUCUUGGGCCAGAUUUAAAAAUUACCAGCGGGAAAAGCAAUCUUCCCCAAGGGGCCUGUUAGGACAGCUAAAGGGAGAGGCUCUACUUUUGAUGGCAGCUUUCAGGCGGGCAGUGCAGAACAGCUCUGGUCUGUGUCGUGUUGUCUGGUGUACCGUGUUCCCUAGUGUGUCUUUGGGGUCCCUUUUGCCUUUUCCCCUUGAGGCCCUCACCACAAGCAUGAUGUGUGGUGUUUGAUGUCCCCCUGUUUGUCACGUUCUGUGUCACGGGUGUCUGCACAUAUUUGUGCUGGAGCUGUGCUGCCCUGCCGCAUGGCCAGCUGCAAUAGGCCGAGCCUUGGGGAGUUGAAAUUUGUAAUUUGGGUGUACUUGGGCUCUAGAUGCUAUUCCUAGAUUGACAUAAGGUGUUUGCAGCUUGUAAGUUAUCCUGGUGGUGUUUGACAUAUGUUCUAACUUUCUUUCAGGUGCAGAUGCAUUGCAUCCAUGGCAGAGGGUCAGAGUUAGCAGGUGCCGGGCAUUCCUAGGAGCACGCUGUCUGAGAGACACCAGCCCGGUGACAGCAGGACCUUCCCAGCUGAUGAGGUGGCCUUUCUUUGCACCUGAUAGGGACCGACAUCCCCAGAUGUCUGAGAGAUAAGUAGAGGGCCAUGACCCACAGAGGGGAUGAAAGCAGGGUGCUGGUUUGGGAAUUACUGGGAGGGGUUUCUGAGUCCAAUUUGGAGGUGGGGGUGUCCAUGAAGUGGCCCCUUAGGCCCCAUAAAAGCAAAGUCUCACUUUUGGUCACAGUGCUGAGGUGUGCAGCAGGGCAGAGCAGUCCCGGUGUGUCUCAUGUCACUUGUCUAUUGUGCAUUAUGUGUUGCUUGGAUAUCUCAUGUCUUUUACCUUAGCCUUUGAGGGGCCUGUCAGAAACCUUGGCAUCAUUGUUAGCAUCUGUGAUCUCUGCAUUCCUUGGCCUGGCACCCAGGCCAUAGAUGUGAUUCUGAUACCUGUCUGAGCUCCUGAGUCAAAAGUUCUCUCUUUGGAAGCAUCCUGUCAGAUGUCUUGUCAGGUCUUGUUCUGAGCUGCAUGGACAGCUAUGCCCCCCACCUGGAUCCAUUAUGGUGGAUUAGGACUUGUAAUAAUAUGAGGUUAGGUAGAGGAUUCUCACCAUAUGAUUCCUAGGCAUCCAUCUUUGCUGUUCUUGGAAUAAAUCAUUCAGUUAGCAUCUUCUUCCUCCAGGUUUCUCUGAGCCUCAUCAGCUCACCAUUGGUCUCAGCUCAGUCAUCUCCUUUUGCAUUCUCUGUCCUUGCAGCCAUUUUCCUUGCCAAGAGAUUUCUGUCUGUGUCUUGUGCCCUUUGCUUGUCCUGUCCUGUCUGUCCUGUGUCACGGGUGUCAGCACACAUUUGUGCCGGGGCUGCUCUGCCCUGCCGCAUAGCCUGGUGCAAUAGGAGAAAUCCCGGGGUCUUGUAAUUUGUAAUGUGGGGUGUAGUUGGACUCUAGAUGGGAUUUGUAGAUGGACACAGGAUAUUUGGAGCUCUUCAGUUAUUCUGCAACCCUUUGACUUUUGCCCUUUUUUUCUGAUGCACCUCCUCCCGUGACUGCAGUAGUUCUGUAGGUUCCAUCUUCUCAAAGGGUUCCGGGGUCAAUAAUUCAUCUUCCAGAGAGUUAGCUCAAGUCCUGGUUUAUAUUGUAUGUACCUAUCUUGGCUUAAGUUGUAUCUACCUAUAUUGUAUGUACCUUUGCUGGCUUGUACUGUGUGUACUCACAUUGUAUGUACCUAUGCUGGCUUUUACUGUAUAUACCUAUGCUGGCUUAUACUGUAUGUACUUAAGGCGACAUGCUGACAUACAGUGUAUCUUGUGUGUACUUACACUCUCUGUACUCUUGAACUUUAUGCGUUGGCUUAUAUUGUGCGUACUUACGUUGUACCACUUGUGACUACCUGCCAGGGCAGGGCAGCUCUGAUCAUAGUUAGGUAGAGCAGUUAUAAAAAUUUUACUGUUCGUCUGUAUUUUGUGGGAUUUUGGGUAGAAAAUUUAUUGGUCCAGAGCGGGGACAAGUCCUGGCUGUCAGAUAGCCACUCGUUGACCACUUCCUGUCGUCUCACAGGUCCCCCAGGCUACUGAUUUCCCCAGAAUCUACCAUUUACGUCAAGGAGGGGCAGCCAGAAGAUGUGUCGAAGCACGUUCUUCAGCAUCUCAGGUUUUGCAAGUCAUUGUUAAAUUAAGAAUAAAAAAUCCC